rnacentral:rRNA from 1 species
UACGUAGGGGGCAAGCGUUGUCCGGAUUUAUUGGGCGUAAAGCGCUCGCAGGUGGUCCGUUGCGUCGUGCGUGAAAGACCCCGGCUCAACUGGGGAGUGUCGUGCGAUACGGGCGGACUGGAGGCCAGUAGGGGGAUGCGGAAUUCCGGGUGUAGUGGUGGAAUGCGUAGAGAUCCGGAGGAACACCAGCGGCGAAGGCGGCAUCCUGGACUGGUCC